rnacentral:rRNA from 1 species
UACAGAGGUCUCGAGCGUUGUUCGGAUUCAUUGGGCGUAAAGGGUGCGUAGGUGGCGCUGUAAGUCGGGUGUGAAAUCCUGAGGCUUAACCUCGGAACUGCAUUCGAUACUGCGGCGCUUGAGGACUGGAGAGGAGACUGGAAUUCUCGGUGUAGCGGUGAAAUGCGUAGAUAUCGAGAGGAACACCUGCGGCGAAGGCGGGUUGCUGGGCUGACACUGACGCUGAUGCGCGAAAGCUAGGGGAGCAAACGGG